ACAGUGUGAAAUUUUAAAAUUUGAAUUCAAAAUUAAAAUUGAAAACAGAAAGGGAUUUACGUUAUUUUUCUUCUGUCAUUUGGUGAUGCCGUGCCAAGAGCAUGGUAGUCACCAAUGUCGUGGUGGUGGAUACAGAGGAAGAACCGGUGAAAAAGAGUAGAUCGAUGGAAAGAACUGAGCGGUUGCCACAGAAAGCACAUGCAGCGAGACUAGGCAAGCGGGGAGCACAGCAGCGGCGGCGACAAGAAUAGAUCGGUGAGAUCUAUUUAUUUCCUGUCACCGUGAAAGGGACAACAGCAGUGGUGGUAGGGUUACGGCAGUUGAAGAGGUUGCGGCGGUAACUAUGGUGGACGAGGAGUCUAAGGUAGCGGUGGGCCCAGUGGUCACGGUGGAGUUCGUGGUGAUAGUUGACAUGGUGAUGGUGGAUAAAGUGGAGGAUGCGAUGACGGUCGUGCAUGCUACAGCCAUGGUGGUCUGGGUCAAGGAUUGCAACCGGGGAGGAGGCGGAUUCCUAGGUAGGUACGGCAGCAUUUGUGGCGGCGGAAGCUGCUACAACUAUGGGAAUUUUCUGGGCAUUUUGCAACAAACUGCCCAACAAGCCCUCUGAGAAAAUAAAGGUAUAAAAUUUUAAUAUCUCUGCACAUAGCUUUUUAUUUUUUACUUUUUAAUAUGAUCUUUUUUAUUUAAACUGUAUCUUCGUAGCAGGCAACAGCACCUGAUCACUCUUAAGAGGCACGCUCCCACCUCGGGUGAUUUCUUCUUUUUCCUUUUUUCUUUUUCCAAUGACAGAUUGGUGAUGGUUUGCGAUGAAGAGUUGUUUGUGUUCCUUACUAUUUGAUCUCAUGUAUAUAUUUGUAAUGUUGUUGUUGUUGUUGGUGUCUUUAUCUGGUAUGGAGCCGUUGAUGCAGAAAAUCCAGAACCACACUAUUGUUGCCAGGAUUCUAAUUGCCCUUUGCCAAAAGGGUGUUACAUGAAUCCAAUGACAUACUGAUUUCAAAAUAUCAACAUAAUCAAGAACUUGGAAAUGAACAGAUGAGGUUGUGUGAAAGAGGGAACUAAUGGGGUUUUGGGGGAUGGCGUCCAUGCUGAUAGCAUUGAGUUGUGUGAGGAUGACACACCUGAUUACUGUUAGAUGUGGCUUUGGAGAAUUUGUUAGAGGUUAUAUUCAAUAAGAAGUCAUCGAUGGUUGUCACUAACAGAUGUAAUUCGAUGAAAGCAGCAAUUAAGUCAGUAUUUUUGGAGUGGACGCAUAGAUUUAGUGCAUAGCACACGGAGAAAAAUAUUACUUCUAACGUCAAACAGGAAGAGUUGCAUGGUCUCUUCAACAAGUGGUUGUAUGCAGACAUCGACAUCAAACAAUUUGAGGUCGAGUGAAGCGAUGCUAUGAUUGAGUAUGACAUGGAAGAUAAUUUUUGGGCUAAAGAAACAUAUGACAAGAGAACCAUGUGGGCUAAUAAAUAUCUUCGAGGAAAAUUUUGUGCCAGAUUUUGGACCACAUCCAAAUGUGAAGGCAUUAAUUCCCACGUGAAGAAGCUUUUGAGGUCUAAGCAUAGUAAGUUGGACAUGGUCAAGAAUCUUGAGUUGCUUGUUUGAUAUUACAGAAAUAGCGAGUUAGUUGCUCAAUUUAACUCAGCACAUGGCCUUAUAGUCAUAACUACCUCCUUGAACCCUCUUGAUAUGUCAACUGCAAUGGUAUACACAAGAGAAAUUUAUGCAGACACAAAGAAGAGAUUGAAGCUGUUGUUGCAGUUAAGUUUGUGCGGAAGAUUCGCCAUUGUACACCGAUGGUGUAUACUUUAGAGGAGUACAACGGUCUAGGAAGACACAGUGUAGUCUUAUACGACAGAGUUCAAAACAAAGUUGAAUGUCCUUACCAAUUUUGGAAAAGGAAGGGAUACCCAUGUCGACUCAUGUUUUUCGUAAUGAAGCAUGAACAUUUGAAGGAGAUUCCAGAAUGGUUGGUGUUGAAGAGAUAGGAGAAGGAUGCAAAAUGACUAGACUCUUACAUCGAGACAACAAAUGCGACUUCGGAAAGGUCUUUUGAGGCAUGCUGCACUUCAAGAAGCCUCACAGUUUUUUCCAUUUAUUAGCGUAAAAAGGCGUUAUCUCUGUUUUGGAAAUCAAUGAUUGUAAUAUAAUCGAUAUGGCAUGAACUUGAGGAAGAUUGCAGGGAUGAAGAACUGGCAAACAAAGAGUUUUCUGGGGUGGAUAUUCGGGAUCCUAUGAAGGUUAAGACAAAGAGAGCUCCCUGAACGAAGAAACAAAAAGGUCGAAAGAGGCGCUAUACCAAGUGCAGAAGGUCCGGCCACACAAAAAGGCAUUGCAUGAACGAUAGAGCGCCACAUGACUCUAUUAAGGAAGGAUUGAAAAUCGAAGUAUGCACAACUUGUGUCUAAGUCUUCAAGUUCAAUAAGACCGGUGAGUCCCUGAAUUUCAUUUGGGUUGUGUUGCUUAAGUUGUUUAAAUUGUUGUUUCACUAAAAGUGUGCAAAAUUAGUUACUCUUUGCAUUAAUCAGGAGACUAAAAUAGAAUUUUCUCCUAAAGGACACCUAAUUGGUUACAGUUAUGCUCAAAUAGUGAAGGAGUGGAUAGAACUCCAGCUGAACUUAUAACAA